AUUGAACGCUGGCGGCAGGCCUAACACAUGCAAGUCGAGCGGAUGAAGGGAGCUUGCUCCUGGCUUCAGCGGCGGACGGGUGAGUAAUGCCUAGGACUCUGCCUGGUAGUGGGGGAUAACGUCCGGAAACGGGCGCUAAUCCCGCAUACGUCCUGAGGGAGAAAGUGGGGGAUCUUCGGACCUCACGCUAUCAGAUGAGCCUAGGUCGGAUUAGCUAGUUGGUGGGGUAAAGGCCUACCAAGGCGACGAUCCGUAACUGGUCUGAGAGGAUGAUCAGUCACACGGGAACUGAGACACGGUCCAGACGCCUACGGGAGGCAGCAGUGGGGAAUGUUGGACAAUGGGCGAAAGCCUGAUCCAGCCAUGCCGCGUGUGUGAAGAAGGUCUUCGGAGUGUAAAGCACUUUAAGUUGGGAGGAAGGGCAGUAAGUUAAUACCUUGCUGUUGUGACGGUACCAGCAGAAGAAGCACCGGCUAACUUCGUG
rnacentral:rRNA from 1 species